UACGGAGGGGGCUAGCGUUGUUCGGAAUUACUGGGCGUAAAGCGCGCGUAGGCGGAUCUGCAAGUCGGGGGUGAAAUCCCGAGGCUCAACCUCGGAACUGCCUUCGAUACUGCGGGUCUCGAGUCCGGGAGAGGUGGAGUGGAAUUCCUAGUGUAGAGGUGAAAUUCGUAGAUAUUAGGAAGAACACCAGUGGCGAAGGCGGCUCACUGGCCCGGUACUGACGCUGAGGCGCGAAAGCGUGGGGAGCAAACA
rnacentral:rRNA from 1 species